rnacentral:rRNA from 1 species
AUAAUGGGUCAGCGACUUAUAUUCUGUAGCAAGGUUAACCGAAUAGGGGAGCCGAAGGGAAACCGAGUCUUAACUGGGCGUUAAGUUGCAGGGUAUAGACCCGAAACCCGGUGAUCUAGCCAUGGGCAGGUUGAAGGUUGGGUAACACUAACUGGAGGACCGAACCGACUAAUGUUGAAAAAUUAGCGGAUGACUUGUGGCUGGGGGUGAAAGGCCAAUCAAACCGGGAGAUAGCUGGUUCUCCCCGAAAGCUAUUUAGGUAGCGCCUCGUGAAUUCAUCUCCGGGGGUAGAGCACUGUUUCGGCAAGGGGGUCAUCCCGACUUACCAACCCGAUGCAAACUACGAAUACCGGAGAAUGUUAUCACGGGAGACACACGGCGGGUGCUAACGUCCGUCGUGAAGAGGGAAACAACCCAGACCGCCAGCUAAGGUCCCAAAGUCAUGGUUAAGUGGGAAACGAUGUGGGAAGGCCCAGACAGCCAGGAUGUUGGCUUAGAAGCAGCCAUCAUUUAAAGAAAGCGUAAUAGCUCACUGGUCGAGUCGGCCUGCGCGGAAGAUGUAACGGGGCUAAACCAUGCACCGAAGCUGCGGCAGCGACGCUGAUGCGUUGUUGGGUAGGGGAGCGUUCUGUAAGCCUGCGAAGGUGUGCUGUGAGG